rnacentral:RNase_P_RNA from 1 species
GGAGGUGGACAGGCGGCCGCCGCGAGGUUUUUACUCGCGGAGGAAAGUCCGGGCACCACAGGGCAGGGUGCUCCGUAACGCGGAGUGGGGGCGACCCUAAGGAAAGUGCAACAGAGAGCAGACUUCCCGCCCAGGCGGGUAAAGGUGAAACGGUGAGGUAAGAGCUCACCAUUUCCGCGGGCGACCGCGGAAGAUCGGUAAACCCCACCCGGUGCAAGGCCGAAUAGGGGGACGUUUGAGGGCUGCCCGCCCGAUGUCCCCGGGUUGGCCGCAUGAUCCAGACGGCAACGGCUGGACCAGAUGAAUGACCGCCUCCUCCUUAGGGAGGACACAGAACCCGGCUUAUGGCCACCUCCGGUU